AAGAACAGAACCGUUUCUAAUUCAAUGUAUCCUCAGGUCUCAGUUUUGGAUGGACUUGUUUGGAGAUUUAAGAGACUCCGGAAACUUCAACGGAAGCGUUGAGCACCAGUGCUUGCUCAGAUUCUGCUUCACCAGAGUUCUGCAGAAAGACCUGGAUGAAUGCAAAAAUCUCUGGAAUAACCACAGGAUCCGGCCAAGCAGACUUGCAUCAUGUCCUGGGGGGAUUCCAAACGAACUCUAUCUCUUGCCUCACAGAUAUGGUUCAAGAGAUUGUGGAUUUCCUGUUGAGGACAGUGAUCUGGAUGUUUUCCCAGAAGCAAGUCAGGUGACAGAUUUGUGUGGUGAUAAAGACAUCGAGGAAUACCUACAGCAAGUCAUGCAACAACAUGGACAACAGCAGUCACAAAACUGGGAGUCAGCUAUGGAACUGUAUUUAUUCCUCAAACACAUAGCAAGGCUGUAGACACAAACAACCUGAAUAAAUUUUUUUUUAUAUUUUGUGUCCUGUUCAUUUUACUCAAAUGAAAACUCAUUGUUAUGGUAAGAACAUAUAACAUAAAAUAU